CGGGGAGUGGCGCAGUCCGGUAGCGCGCCUGCUUUGGGAGCAGGAUGUCGCAGGUUCGAAUCCUGUCUCCCCGA
rfam:Novosphingobium pentaromativorans TS6-1 contig00006, whole genome shotgun sequence.